GUGGAAGAAGGGGCAGAACAACUGCCAGAAAUUGUAGGGAAAGAUUUUCUGUGGAGUCUGCAUUCUUGAAGGAUGAGCAAGAAUUUUCUGGAUAGGUAAACAAAGCAAAGAGAAUUCUCACCUGAGGGAGCGUUGUGUGCACAGGGAGUCCUGAGUUGAUGGGGCAUAUUUAUUCAUCCUUUCUUUGUUCAUUUAUUUAUUCUUUAUUCAACUAAUAUUUAUUGUACACCUAUGUACCAGUUUGGGUGCUGUGGAUAGCAUAGUGAACCUGACAGACAUAAUCCUGUCAUAAAUUCAGUAUAAUGUAGAAGAAUAAAUAAUUAAAAUUAUGAUGAGUAUUGCAAAAGAGUAAGCAUGGGGUGUUACAGGUGUAUGUAACAAUGUUAAAUAUAGGAGAAGCUUCUGGAAUAUUGAGGAGUGGUAUGAGAUGGGACUGGAAGGAGGGAUUUGGUCCAAUUUUGAAAGGUAUUAUAUACAGAGCACAGGAGUUUAAAUAACAUUUUAUUAAUUUUUAAAAAAUUAGCUACAGAAGUUCCACA
rnacentral:lncRNA from 1 species